AACGAACGCUGGCGGCAUGCCUAACACAUGCAAGUCGAACGAGACCUUCGGGUCUAGUGGCGCACGGGUGCGUAACGCGUGGGAACCUGCCCUUAGGUUCGGAAUAACUCCCCGAAAGGGGUGCUAAUACCGGAUAAUGUCUUCGGACCAAAGAUUUAUCGCCUUUGGAUGGGCCCGCGUUGGAUUAGCUAGUUGGUAGGGUAAUAGCCUACCAAGGCGACGGUCCAUAGCUGGGCUGAGAGGAUGAUCAGCCACACUGGGACUGAGACACGGCCCAGACUCCUACGGGAGGCAGCAGUGGGGAAUAUUGGACAAGGGGCGAAAGCCUGAUCCAGCAAUGCCGCGUGAGUGAUGAAGGCCUUAGGGUUGUAAAGCUCUUUUACCCGGGAUGAUAAUGACAGUACCGGGAGAAUAAGCUCCGGCUAACUCCGUG
rnacentral:rRNA from 1 species